rnacentral:rRNA from 1 species
AUUGAACGCUGGCGGCAGGCCUAACACAUGCGAGUCGAACGGUAACAGAAAGCAGCUUGCUGCUUUGCUGACGAGUGGCGGACGGGUGAGUAAUGUCUGGGAAACUGCCUGAUGGAGGGGGAUAACUACUGGAAACGGUAGCUAAUACCGCAUAACGUCGCAAGACCAAAGAGGGGGACCUUCGGGCCUCUUGCCAUCGGAUGUGCCCAGAUGGGAUUAGCUAGUAGGUGGGGUAACGGCUCACCUAGGCGACGUUCCCUAGCUGGUCUGAGAGGAUGACCAGCCACACUGGAACUGAGACACGGUCCAGACUCCUACGGGAGGCAGCAGUGGGGAAUAUUGCACAAUGGGCGCAAGCCUGAUGCAGCCAUGCCGCGUGUAUGAAGAAGGCCUUCGGGUUGUAAAGUACUUUCAGCGAGGAGGAAGGUGUUGUGGUUAAUAACCACAGCAAUUGACGUUACUCGCAGAAGAAGCACCGGCUAACUCCGUGCCAGCAGCCGCGGUAA